rnacentral:ncRNA from 1 species
UUAUAGAUUGAUUCUAUCUAAUUUAAGUGGCUUAAAAGUAAUUUUACAUGUGAAUUUUUGUGAGGUUAAUUAUAUUUUUCUAAAUGAAAAUUAGUAUUUUUAUUCGCAGUUAAUAUUAUUAAUUAUAUAAAUAAUUUUAGUUUUAGUUAAUUUUUGUAAGAGUAGUUUAAAAUUGUGCCAGCAAACGCGGUUAUACAAUUUACUCUAGUUAAUUAUUUUAAAAAAUAUUAAAAUUGUUUUUUGUUUAUUGGGUUUAAUUAUUAGUUAAUUAGGUGAAAUUUUUUAUUUUUUUUGUAUCUUAGGUUUAUUAUAAUAUGAAAAUCAUUUUUUAAACUAGGAUUAGAGACCCUAUUAUUUUGAUUAUAAAUAGAUUUUUUUGGUAUUAAUAGUUAUUUUCUUUAAAUUAAAAGAUUUUGGCGGUAAUUUAAUCUCUUUAGAGGAAUCUGUUCUUUAAUUGAUAAUCCACGUGGUAUUUAACUUUAAUUUAUGUUUGUAUAUCUCUGUUAUUAGAAUGUUUUAUUAGGAUAUUUUCUGAAAUUAUUAUUUUAAUUAAUUUCAGGUCAAGGUGCAGCUAUGUUAAAGGUUGAAAUGGAUUACAUUUAAUGUAUUUUAUUGAAUUAUUAAUAAUUAAUAUUAUUUAUGAAAAAGGAUUUAAAAGUAAAUUUUAGUAUCUUCUAUUUUUGAUUAUAGCUCUAAAUUAUGUACAUAUCGCCCGUCACUCUCAUAAGAUGUGAGAUAAGUCGUAACAAAGUAAUUCUAUUGGAAGAUGGAGUUAGAUAUAUU